GUUUUCGUGGCCUAGCGGUUAGGGCGUCUGUCUUACAAAGUGGCUUUUGAGCCCUGAAGAUCACAGAAGAUCGCCGGUUCAAUCCCGGCCGGAAACA